rnacentral:rRNA from 2 species
UGCUGCAGCUAACGCAUUAAGCACUCCGCCUGGGGAGUACGGCCGCAAGGCUGAAACUCAAAGGAAUUGACGGGGGCCCGCACAAGCGGUGGAGCAUGUGGUUUAAUUCGAAGCAACGCGAAGAACCUUACCAGGUCUUGACAUCCCGCUGCCCGCCUUAGAGAUAAGGCUUUCCCUUCGGGGACAGCGGUGACAGGUGGUGCAUGGUUGUCGUCAGCUCGUGUCGUGAGAUGUUGGGUUAAGUCCCGCAACGAGCGCAACCCUUGAUCUUAGUUGCCAGCAUUCAGUUGGGCACUCUAAGGUGACUGCCGGUGACAAACCGGAGGAAGGUGGGGAUGACGUCAAAUCAUCAUGCCCCUUAUGACCUGGGCUACACACGUGCUACAAUGGACGGUACAAAGGGCAGCCAACCCGCGAGGGGGAGCCAAUCCCAGAAAACCGUUCUCAGUUCGGAUUGCAGGCUGCAACUCGCCUGCAUGAAGCCGGAAUCGCUAGUAAUCGUGGAUCAGCAUGCCACGGUGAAUACGUUCCCGGGCCUUGUACACACCGCCCGUCACACCACGAGAGUUUGUAACACCCGAAGUCGGUGA